rnacentral:rRNA from 1 species
ACAAGCCUGAGAAACGGCUAGUAGGACUAAGGUCUGCAGCAGGCGCGAAACUUACACAAUGCUAGAUUAAAAUUAGCGAUGUAGUGAAGAAAAAUAACGAUGUACUUUCAUCUACAAAUGAUAGUACAAUUGGAAUGAGACGACUAUAAACCAGUUAGUCGAGUAACAAAUGGAGGGCAAGUCUGGUGCCAGCAGCCGCGGUAAUUCCAGCUCCAUUAGCAUACAUUAAAGUUGUUGCGGUUAAAAAGCUCGUAGUUGAAUUUUAGGCGAGCUCUAUUGGAUUGCAAUCGUUAAGACUAUCUUGCUUCGGCUUGUUUAGUUGGUUGUAUCAUCCUAUAGGAACUCGCUGUUUCGUCACUUAAUCGAGUGCGAAGCGGGCUGAAACAUUGGUUUAAACUUCGCGUUUGCCUUGUUCCAGCAUGUUUACCUUGAGAAAAUUAGAGUGCUCACAGCAGGCAGUUGGGAUGUAAAAGUCUCUUUAUGCUUGGAUAAUGUUGCAUGGAAUAAUAGAAUACGGCCUCGGUUCUAUUCUGUUGGUCUUAUAGAACAACAAACAAGUUGGUUAAAGCGACAAAAAGUUCGUUUGUGAGUGUGGCUCUAAGGGUCUUUCAUUUCAAUUUGAUCUAACUCUGUAUGUUAUGUUGCCUGGAACCUUAAAAUUUCAGAGCCAUGCAUGCUUUGUCUAGUCUUAUUGUAUGUUUGUUAUCCUUAAAGUCAUUUAAAGCACUCCUAACUGGGCUAGCUUUCUAAUCAACUGAGGCAAUGGUUAAAAGAAAUAGCCGCGGCGGCAUCAGUACUGCAUCGUGAGAG